rnacentral:rRNA from 1 species
GUAGGGAAUCUUCCACAAUGGACGAAAGUCUGAUGGAGCAACGCCGCGUGAGUGAAGAAGGAUUUCGGUUCGUAAAACUCUGUUGCAAGGGAAGAACAAGUAGCGUAGUAACUGGCGCUACCUUGACGGUACCUUGUUAGAAAGCCACGGCUAACUACGUGCCAGCAGCCGCGGUAAUACGUAGGUGGCAAGCGUUGUCCGGAAUUAUUGGGCGUAAAGCGCGCGCAGGUGGUUCCUUAAGUCUGAUGUGAAAGCCCCCGGCUCAACCGGGGAGGGUCAUUGGAAACUGGGGAACUUGAGUGCAGAAGAGGAUAGUGGAAUUCCAAGUGUAGCGGUGAAAUGCGUAGAGAUUUGGAGGAACACCAGUGGCGAAGGCGACUGUCUGGUCUGUAACUGACACUGAGGCGCGAAAGCGUGGGGAGCAAACAGGAUUAGAAACCCUAGUAGUCC